AACUCUGAAGACCUGAGUGGAAGUUCUCUCGUCGCCAUUUUCUUUUGCCUCGCACUAAAAGCUUCUCCUGUGCACUCAAACAAGUCCCUGUCUUCAUCCUUUGACUCCACUGACUCACAGGACACACUCAUUAUUGAAGAACGGUUUUCAAGUACACGAAUGAGGCUCGAUGAUGAAGCUAAAAAAGUACAUCACAACCAAGGAAUGUGAAUGAGAAAUAUCCCAGAGUAAUUGUGGUGUUCCUGUAUCUCAGUGGACCCCCACCCCCACA